rnacentral:lncRNA from 1 species
CUCAACACUACUACUAUCGUACCACUGCCAUUACCACCACCAUUGUUGAUUGCCACUACCACCUUCAACACCUCCACUUACACUACCACGCAAAAAUCGUCACCAAAUUCACCAUCCUCGCCAAUACUUUUACCUGUACAACCAAUAAAAGCCACCUAAAACCUUCCAACAAUGCCAAAACCACCCCAACCACCACACCCAAGCAGAUUCAACACCAUCAUUGGCCUCAUCACCGCAACACCUCAUCACCACUACGACGACAACAUGAAAACCCAACACAAGCAGAUCUGACUAGCACCGAAUUGUGGUACAGAUCAUCGAACUGACAAAAAUUUCAGAUCCUCGCCCCACAAGCCGGACGCUUCGAUCUCCUCUUCAUUAUAGCUACUGACGACGACGCACAAACCCACCAUCACCGAGCCCACCAUUACAGCCGUGUGCAGCGACAAUGAACAACCACUACCGUCGAUCUGUGUAGAGCCACUCACAACGACUUCAUUAUCGCUGUGCGCAGCUCUCGAUGCCUGAGAGUGUCUUUGUUGGCGGCGCUCUCCGACGGGCAACAACAGUUCAUGUGUGACGGAACCUCCAGUGGUGUUUUGUGACAGAAAGAAGGGAGAGAGAGAGAGGUGUUUUGUGACAG